ensembl:lncRNA
GCUCCUCACACCUCCGUGGACUUUGAUUUCUCUCAUGAACAUUUUUAAAGACGUGCCUUUGCAUCUGUGUUUGUUUAUAAUGAGAGUAAAUGUAAACGUGAUGUGUUGUUUGUGGGUCUUUGAUCGUGUGGAAUAUUUCUGCUGCUGCAGCUGAAAUCCAACACUUUAGUUUUUUCUUUCUAUUUGUUUAACGUGGAAACUUUAAACGUGGUCACAGGACGUCUCCGGUCCAAUAACAGUGCAGGUGUUUGGCAGCAGUGAUGAGUCUGACCUUCACCAGCAGAGGGAUCUAAUAAAUAAGAGUGACGGCGGUUUCUUCAUCUAUAAAAGCUGAGCGGUUUCCUCUGUUACUGCCUGCAGAAGGUAAAUGAAUGUAAGAGCUGGUUUUGUUUAGUUUUUGUUACUUUUAAAUCAUGAGGAGGAGAAGGAGGAGGAGGGGGGUUGUUGGGAUAAGUUCUCAUGAUAAGAACAGGCUGUGAGAGCAGCUGACUCACAGUGAUGGAGACACCCAGAGUCUGAGCAAACGGAUGAUCCAGCUAAGAAAAGACGUUCAUCUGUUUGUAUUUUUGCUUUGUAAGGUCAGAAUCUUCUAGUAUUUUUAGAUAUUUCAGGUGCUUUCAACCAUUUCAGGUUAAAGUUUAGCCUGGUUAUAACAGACAGCAGAUUUCAGGUCCAUCUGCAGGAUCCUCCUCCUCUCCAGACGAAGAUCCAAUCACACCUGAGGAACAAACUGCUGCUCAGGGAAAGGUUUCGAGCUCUUUGAUGAUAUUUUUAGGUGAACUGGGAGAAUCGUUCUGAAUAUGGACGCAGACUCCCUGUGACUGUCGUAUCUGACCAAUAGGAGGUGCUGCAACACAACAUCUGUAUCUCCAGUAAUCAGCAGGCGACCUGUCCAAGGUGUAGACGGAGAUGAUCUCAGUGAUGCAUUCAGGGAGCGUUUGAAGGGCGGCUGCAGGAGGUGAAGCCGAUUAUUCCACGUCCCUCCUGGUUUAAACAGCGUGGGUACUUUCUCUUUUUCUUCUCUCCUGCAAAACAAAACCUGAACCUGAAGGUUAAAAUGUGCUGAGACAUGAACUUUUUGAGGACGUACCUGUGAGUUAAGAAGCUGGGCCUAAUGAGCAGGCCUCGGGUAAUUGCUGCAGUUAUUAAGGAGGCUCAGCUGAGAUGGAGUGCCAGAGGCUGCACAGCCUGCAGGUCUAAUUGGCAAUUAGAGCGACGCGGAGCUCUGCUGGGCUUCUCCUGCAGGUUUAGUUGGGACAAAGUUUAGUUUUUGUUUUGUCGGAUUUCCUCUGAGCGUGACGAGCUGCACUUUCCACACCUGGCACCAAUUUUCAGCUUUCAGCAUCAGUUUCUGAUAGAAGUGUAGUGAGUUUACACUGCUAGGACCCAUUUAAGCCUCCCCUCUGAGUCAGACUGCAGUGAGCCGAUCAUUCAGUCUGAUAUCAGAACGCUUUCUGUGUCCUGAUUGGAGGAUUUACCUGAUGUAAUGUGUCACCUGGUUUAAAUAGCUCAGAUCUUCCUCACAUUCAGAUUGCGCAUCAGCGAUUAUUUAAAGGAAUGAUGAAGAUCUCAGUAACACUUCAGGUUAGUUUGCAAACUCAGUUCAGGAGAUAUAUGAUGGUUCAGUUAAAGGAGCAACAGCACAAACAUCACAGAUUUACUUUGUCACUCGCUGAGAACAGUCGUCGUUUAGGUUUGACAGCAUUUCCAGUAGAUGAUCUCAGAUGUUUCCUCCUGCCUGGCAGCUCCAUCUUCACCAUCCUCCCUCCUCCAUCUCAGCCUGUCUGACUCUGAGCUGUCCCUCUGAUGGACUCAGAGGGACAGCUCAGUUAGUGGUGGUUGUGCUUUAUAAAAAUAUGAAACAUAAAUCACCGGAGCCUCUCGGUGCCGUCUUACAGCAGCUCAGCUUUCUUUAUUGUGUGUUUCAGGUUUGCUAAUCUCAGAUUAUUUAACCUUCUUCAGCCUGUAUACAGGUGCUGCUGCUCUGCAACCACGUCCACCUCCACCCACCUCCCCUUUAAUGCUUUCUGAUCUCCUGCUGUUAGUGACGCUCGCUUUGCUCUGAGCGGGGCAGGAAGUGAACCUGGAAAAUAUGAAUAAGUGUAAAUGGAAUAAAAAGACUAUUUAACUUCUACGUCAGCUCUGUCACCAGCUCCUUAUGGUGCAGGUGAGAGUUUGAUGACCAGUCACAGGGAUGAUGCUGAGUCUGCUGCAGCUCUGUUAAGUUUAUAACAGAUAGUUCUGGCCUCUGAACACCAGCAGCGCUCCAGCAGCCUCCCACGGUCGUGGCCACACAUCUUUUGGUUUGCUGGAUCCACUCCUGCUUCAUCAGAAAACCCAGAUGAUCAGUUUGCAGACUUUUCUAGUCACCUUUUAAGGACUGAGCACAGAUUCUCAAUGGGAUUAAAGACCGGGGAGUUUCCUGGCCUCGGAUGCAAAUUGUUAAUUUUCUGAUCUCAGAGCCGCUUAGUGUUGAGUUUAGCCUCGAGACGCGGCGCUCCAUCAGGCUGGAAAAUGCACAGACUCCAGAACGCUCCUGGAUCUGUGGGAGAGGCUGGUCAUCGAGGAUGUUUGUGGUGUGGUCAGUGCUUAAAAAGCUGAAACCUGUGAUCAGCGUGGAGCUGUGGCAUCCCCAUCAGUCAGCGGUUGGCUCAGAGGCUGAUGUUCAGCAUGCACAGACCUGCAGACGUUCUAAAGAAGAAAGGUCACCACGUCUCAGCUGAAUUUUGAACGUUUUUUCUGAGCUGUCUUUAAACAUCGAUUAUCCUUCAAUAAAUCACAGAAACAUGCAAAGAACUCAAACUAAGUUCUGUGAGGAGCAAACGCUGGGCGUGAGGAGUGAAUGCAGCUCAAAGCUGUGUGAAGUCUCUCUUCUGUUUCACGUUGUAUUUUGACAUAUCUGCAUUUUCACACAUGUCAGAGGGAAUUUGAAUAAAGACAAUAAAAACCAACACCUGU